CUUCAACUUCACGAUCGACAUUUGCAGGUAUGCCCAUUGAUUCCGGAUCUUCAUCAUCAAGAUCAGCACCAGCAUCCUGAUUUCGACCCCUGGCUGCAGCUUCUCUCAUCAAUCGCUGCUGGCGUUCAAAUCUUCGUUCUUUGUAUGGCAUGUCCAAAUCACCUGAUAACUCCAGUACCGCUCUGGAACGCUUAGCUGCCUUUUGGUCAAUUUGAUUAGCAUAAAACUUUAAAGAGCGUUUCCUAGCAAUCUUGUCUUCAGCAUCAACAUCGUCCAAUCUGUUGCCUUCACCAUAGUCAUCGAGAUUUUUAAUAUUAGUAUUAAUUUUAGAUUUAGCGGCUCGAAAUUUCAAAGUAAUAUCAUCAUCUUCAGCUACUGGAAUAUCCUUAAUGCCCUCAUUUUCAUUAUCGCUGAUUGAUUCGUGCAUAUCAACAUCUUCUUCAUCUUCGGACGCACCAAUGUCAGAUGCCGAUGCUAUCUUUUCGUGAAGCUCGAUAGUUUUUCCAUCUUCCUCGAGAGAAGUUGGAGUCAAUACUUCAUCUAACCCACAAUAAGACUCCCACGUCUGUUUGCAACGAACAAGGUCAACCAUAAUAGGAUGAUUUUUUAAAUCUUCCUCUCCAUCUUUCAAGAGGGCAAAGUAGAAUGUUAGAAAACUGAUGUAAGUACUCAGAGCGGUGCAUUGAGCUUGAAGUAGCUGAGAAGAUGGAUAAGUCUUAAGUUUCUCCUUAAUUUCAUUUAACUGGGGUUUCAAUUGAUUUAAUUCAUCUAAAAAUAAUUGAAAUUCAGGAUGUUUAGCUUCUAGAAUCUUUAAAAGCUCUGUACGAGGGAGAUCAGGUGAAAUUUGCUGAACAAGUUCUUCAAUUGCAGCAGCAGAGGAAUCCUGUUUUAUAGAUUUUAGGUCACUGUUAUCAGCCCAUUGACUAAUAUCAUCAAUAGCAUCAGUUUCGCUGACUUUUUCAAGACGUUUACGUUGUAAACGCAACGCUUCUUGCUCUUCCAUUCGUGCGUCAAAUUCAUCGUCCUCCUCAGAGUAGUCUUCAUUGUCAUAAUCAUCCCCACCGUAAUAUGAUUUUGCAGAGCGACCCCAACCUUUAUUAUCAUAUAACUCUUCCUCAUUAACAGCGUCUUUCUUUUUGCCCGAGAGCUCUUCAUUUUCUGAUAAAUUCUCCUCGGCGUUCCCAUCUUCCUCAUCGCUAGAACUUUCUAAAGCCACAAGUUCUUCAUCACUUAAUUCUAAUUCGUCUGCUUGCUCGCCGUUGUCAGCAUCAAACAAAAUUUUAUCCUGUGCGUUAUAGAAUUCAUCUUCUGAAUUAGCAACAUCUUCGUAUGUAUUGAUUGCGUUUAUCUUUUCUUUCUCCUUUAUUUCUGGUACCUUUAAAGAAGAACCUUUCCGAGUAGAAGAGCUUCUC